GUGGGGAGGAUAUAAAAUUUGCUGUAAGGAAAUGGUCUGAUCAUAUGGUGGUUAAGGAUAGACACAAUAGGCUACAGAAAAAAAUAAUCAUCUCUUCUUUACCAAACAAUUUCUAGUAAUCUUAAAUAAUUUUUAAAAUUUCAAAUUCCUAAAUGAGACCAAAUGCUGACUUUCCUGGUAUAUGUCAUAUAUUACAUGCUUAUGGAAAGUGUUAAUAAAAGUAAUUAAUCUCAUGACACUCAAGGUUGAGAUUUGCUGCAGCAGAUGUUUUAUAGUUUCCAUGCUGUAAGAGGACAUUUGGCAAAAUAAACUAAUGUUGCCUACACAUUGAUAGGUACCAGUGAGUUUACCAAGACAAACAUUUUCAAAAGCCUAUCAAUCAUCAUUAUACUCAGUAAUUAAAAAAUGUGUAGUGGUGGUUGUGUGUUCCAUUACAUUCCCGCCUGCUUUAAAUUCCUUUCACUUUCUACGACUGACAGACCCUCACUCAUUCCUCAUGACCUUGAUAGGCUAGUCGUCUUUUGCCUCCCUACAUUGGCCAUCCAAUCAGAGUAGUCCUUGUUUAUCAAAUAAGUGGAUCCACAUAUGGGCAUGUCACCAAAACAGAGCCAAUCCAAGAUUUUCUGACAACUGAAAUUGAUGUUGGCAUAAAGAGAAUCUUUUUGUUUGUUUAUUUUUCCUGGAUUCACAGGCUGUAGGAUGACGCAUGAUGCAAGUCUGAAGUUGUAUGUGGCCAUCUUUGCCACCACAUUCAGAAAGCUUACCUGAGAAUGAAGUCAACACUGGAGAGAAAGAGAAAGAAAGAGGGAGAACAUAUCAGGUAGAAUCUCUCCACAAUGGCAACAAAGAUGGUCACUAGCAAGUCCAAGCCUCCAUUCUCUUUAAAACUUGCAAUCCUUGAGGACAAAGAAAAACGAUCUUUUUUUUCCAAUAUCUAUGUUACUUCUAAAAGAAGGUAUUAAGGAAAGCCUGUAUGAAAUUUCAUUCAUCAGUCAAGACCAUACUGGCCUUGAAUAAAAUUUAUAAGCAGUUUUUUUUUUUUUUUUUUUUUUU
rnacentral:lncRNA from 1 species